UAGGGAAUCUUCGGCAAUGGGGGGAACCCUGACCGAGCAACGCCGCGUGAGUGAAGAAGGUUUUCGGAUCGUAAAGCUCUGUUGUUAAGGAAGAACGAGUGUGAGAAUGGAAAGUUCAUACUGUGACGGUACUUAACCAGAAAGGGACGGCUAACUACGUGCCAGCAGCCGCGGUAAUACGUAGGUCCCGAGCGUUGUCCGGAUUUAUUGGGCGUAAAGCGAGCGCAGGCGGUUAGAUAAGUCUGAAGUUAAAGGCAGUGGCUCAACCAUUGUAGGCUUUGGAAACUGUUUAACUUGAGUGCAGAAGGGGAGAGUGGAAUUCCAUGUGUAGCGGUGAAGUGCGUAGAUAUAUGAAGGAACACCGGUGGCGAAAGCGGCUCUCUGGUCUGUAACUGACGCUGAGGCUCGAAAGCGUGGGGAGCGAACAGG
rnacentral:rRNA from 1 species